AUGCGUGCCAAGUCUGCAGACACAGAGGAAUAACUUUUCCAUGUAGGUUGAGCUUGUCUAAGCUUUUGUGGUACAAAGAAGCACGGCAAGGUGAUGGAACAGCUUGUCCUAGAUGCCAUGGCCAAGCAGUUGGAGAAGAAGAAGAUCAUCAGGAAUAGUCAGCAUGGAUUUAGCAAGGGGAAAGUGUGCUUGAGCAACCUCCUAGGCUUCUGUGAGGCAUCAGCAGCUAUAUGGAUGGCGGGAGAGCAAUGGAUGUAGUCUACCUUGACUUCAGCACUGCUUUUGAUGCAGUCUCCCACGACAUCCUGAAGUGCAGUGUUUCAGAAGAGAGAAAAACAAACAUGGCGGCCAUGAGCUGGCUUUCUGUGGUUGGUAAAGCUGUGCUGAGAUCUGGGCUGACUAUUGCAGCUGAAAAUGCGUGCCAAGUCUGCAGACACAGAGGAAUAACUUUUCCCCCCAGGUGGAGCUUGUCUAAGCAAGGAGAGAUUUGAGGUGCUGUUUGGUAAUGGAAGACGGAGAGAGGAAGAGCUGUGCAUAGCCAGCGCAUCCCAUCUGCACCGUUGUUCCCAUGCACAAAGGAGAGGAGCAUCUCAGCAAGCAUGGCGUGGGCCGUGGAAGGGAGCAUACAAACAUCUGGACCAACCCAAAAGGAGUUAGUUCUGCAGGUUGGUUGCUUUCUGCUGUUUGUCCCACAUCCUGUUGCUCAGUGGUAGAUUUGUUCACGUUCAGCGCUAGCAGGAAUGUC